GAUGAACGCUAGCGGGAGGCUUAACACAUGCAAGUCGAGGGGCAGCAUAGGGUAGCAAUACUCUGAUGGCGACCGGCAAACGGGUGAGUAACGCGUAUGCAACCUACCCUGUACAGGGGGAUAACCCGGAGAAAUUCGGACUAAUAUCCCGUAAUAAUAUCCGGAGGCAUCUUUGGAUAUUUAAAGUUCCGACGGUACGGGAUGGGCAUGCGUAACAUUAGCUGGGUUGGUAAGGUAACGGCUUACCAAGGCUAUGAUGUUUAGGGGUCCUGAGAGGGUGGUCCCCCACACUGGUACUGAGACACGGACCAGACUCCUACGGGAGGCAGCAGUGAGGAAUAUUGGUCAAUGGGCGCAAGCCUGAACCAGCCAUCCCGCGUGCAGGAAGACGGCCCUAUGGGUUGUAAACUGCUUUUCCAGGGAGAGAAACUUACGCACGUGUUGCGUGACUGACGGUACCCUGGGAAUAAGCAUCGGCUAACUCCGUG
rnacentral:rRNA from 1 species